rnacentral:rRNA from 1 species
GACGAACGCUGGCGGCGUGCUUAACACAUGCAAGUCGAACGGAAAGGCCCUGCUUUUGUGGGGUGCUCGAGUGGCGAACGGGUGAGUAACACGUGAGUAACCUGCCCUUGACUUUGGGAUAACUUCAGGAAACUGGGGCUAAUACCGGAUAGGAGCUCCUGCUGCACGGUGGGGGUUGGUAAGUUUCGGCGGUUGGGGAUGGACUGGCGGCUUAGCGGCUUGUUGGUGGGGUAGUGGCUUACCAAGGCUUUGACGGGUAGCCGGCCUGAGAGGGUGACCGGCCACAAGGGGACUGAGGGACGGCCCAGACGCCUACGGGAGGCAGCAGUGGAGAGUAUUGCGCAGUGGGCGGAAGCCUGAGACAACAACGCCGCGUGCGGGAUGACGGCCUUCGGGUUAAAAACCGCUUUCGCCUGUAACGAGGCGUGAGUGACGGUAAUGGGUAAAGAAGCACCGGCUAACUACGUG